UACGGAGGGUGCAAGCGUUAUCCGGAUUCACUGGGUUUAAAGGGAGCGUAGGUGGGUUGGUAAGUCAGUGGUGAAAUCCCCGAGCUUAACUUGGGAACUGCCAUUGAUACUAUCAGUCUUGAAUACUGUGGAGGUUAGCGGAAUAUGUCAUGUAGCGGUGAAAUGCUUAGGUAUGACAUAGAACACCAAUUGCGAAGGCAGCUGGCUACACAAAUAUUGACACUGAGGCACGAAAGCGUGGGGAUCAAACAGG
rnacentral:rRNA from 1 species